rnacentral:lncRNA from 1 species
UAGAAUAAGGACAGUCCUAGUUUUUAUUUUUAUAUCUCCCAGCUCUAUAAUAUUCUUUUUAUUUACAUUCAUUCUCUUCUGCCUUCUUUUUUUUACUUUUUAUUUUACAGAGAAAGAGAAUGCACACAAGAUGGGAAGAGGGGCAGAGGGAGAGAGAAUCUUAAGCAGGCUCCAUGCUCACCACAGACCCUGAACAGGGCUCGAUCCCACCACACUAGGAUCAUGACCUGAGCUGAUAUCAACACUUGGAUGUGCAACUGACUGAGCCACCCAGAUGCCCCUUUCUUCUACUGUUUUUUCUAACUCUAUUUUCAAAUAAGAGAAUGAUAUUUGUUUCCUAAUGAGCAAAUAGUUGAUAGAUAAAAAGAAAAUAAAUGUUAGAAGAAUAGAUGUUAAACUCAAUCAAUUUCUCAGUAACUACAUUCAUUUCUCUAAACAUCUGCGGAGGACUGUUACUUUGAAAUGAAAUCACCAUUGAGACUGAAAAUUGUAAUUAACAGAUGCCUGGAAACUGCAGUGCUCUUCCAGAAAGAUCUCUCCAUAUUUGGCUAAACAGAAGUGAAGACUUGUGGAUCCUAAAAAUAUAUCCAAUAUUUAUGUGUGUACUUUCACCCCAAGUAUCCCCUUCCAUUCUCAGCCCAACGUCUCCUGUUUUCAAUUUUACUGAAAAGGUCCUCCUCACUGUGGCAUUGCAAGAUAUGCUUCUGUUGUCUUCAAAUCCUUAAAUUCACAUAUGUUGAGAAUUCAGGCAGACCUUCUAAACAGCAUUUGGGUUCAAUAUUAAGCAUUACUUUCUAACUACAAUGUGCCUUCUCCUCAAAGUUCCCUAAAACCUUGAAAAAUCAGUUUGAGAACUUUUGAGUCUCUUAACCUCAUUUUUCUAUGAUUCCCCAGUAAAGAAAAUUGCACUAAGUUGCUGAUGUGCCACUUUAAAUACUUAUAUAAAUCUCAGUCACUAAUUUAAGGACAAUAGUUUAAAGAAGA